CUAGCGGGUGUCCUCCUCUGCAGAGCCGUGGGACUCGAGCGCCUUCAUCACUGGACGUUGGAAGCCAGGAAGGAAACCCAUACACUCAGGGACAGCCCGGGCGCCGCGGUGGCACCGAGCUGGGAGAGGACGAGAGGCUGGCGCGGGAGAAGCCGAGAGUUGCUACCGACUGGGAGCUGCCGGCGGCGGGAGCAGACGCGACCCUCGCCGCUUUCGAACGCGAAGCCGGGGAGAGCCGAGCUCGGCUGCUGGGGCUCGGCUCCCCGCGCUCUGCCUUGCCCUUUCGGCGGAGGGCAGCUCCCUGCCUGCUGCAGCCCCGCCACUGUGCGCCCGGCCGCCCCGGGGUGCGCCCAGCCCGCCCCCCGAGCGGCCGCCGGGACUCCAGCAGUUGGACCGACCCUCGCCCUCCGGCGCCUGGACAAACUUCCUUCCUCCCGGGCCCCAGCGCCGAGCAGGCUGACAGGCGGCUCCCUCGCCGGUCUCCUCUAGGCUCCGGCCGGGCGAGCUUGCUCUCUGCCCCUCUCCAACCCCGAGCCCCUGGCGCCUAGCCGUCCCCAAGCAGCCGCUCCAACAAAGCCAGAGGCCCGGAGACGACCCGGCGAGGGACUGGGAGUGGCAGCGGAGACCCUAGAGCCAGAAGGAGGCGUCCCCUCGGCGGGGCGAGUACAGUGGGAAGGGGCAGCGGGGAUGUAGCGGGGAGAGAGAAGGGAAGAAAGUGUCCUGCUCUAGGCGCGAACGUCUUCCUGGCUCGUCCUCGCUCCCCUUCUCCCCCGGCCCGAGCGCGUCCCGUGUCCCGGUGGGAAUUGGCAAGCGGGGGAGGGCGGAGAGGAGAGGGGACGCGGUGGCCUGGCUAGCGAGCCGCUCCCUUACCUCUGUCCAGGGUGAGCGGCUGGACCACUGUCAAUGUCGCCAUGUCUGCCGUGGGAGCCGAAGUGACGCUCGGCUUCAGCAUCAGCAACCGCUCGUAAUCUUUCAGUUGCGGUGCGGAGCUGAGCAGGUAUCCGAGAGCGACUGCAUCGCCGGGCUCUGGGAGCGAAGGCUCUGCCCUGGAACUUUGCU